UAGAUUUGCCACAAAUCGCUGAGGAAAAUCACUUGAGCAGAGAAACGCCGGCUACAUACUCUGAAAGACAUCCCUUCCACACUAUCGCGUCUCCACUUGUCCAUGAUGAAGCGAUCACUUUGCCAGCUGAGUAGAGCCAUCCUCCUUGCAGCUUGUCUUCUCCUUCGCUUCGGACAAUGCCAACCUGUUGCAGAUCAGAGCUCACGUCAGCUAUCGCCAUCUUCUUCUCUUGAAAAUUACCUCACGCUCCGUGCCCUCCUCUCACCGGAUAAGACAUUACCGGAGUUACUCUAUGAUGAUAAUUAUAAUGAUAUGGAAAGAAGCCGACGAUCUGGGUUUUUGUUGGAAUCGUUUAAACCAGUUUCAAUGGAUGUCAUUAGAAGGGUCCUUAAGAACAAGCACCAGGAGGCAUUGGCAAACGCAAGAAGAAACUUAAUUGACCAUAACAAUCAAAUAAUGUCCAUGCAAGGUAGGAGAUGAUAGAAUUGAGCAGAACUUUCGGAUUUUUAUUUUUAAACAAGAGAUGACCAUAAAACACAUGUACACAAGCAAACAAAACUGCAAUUAUCGAAGUAUACAUUUGAUUCAUUGGGCGUUAUGGAAUAAGUGUUAUUCAUGCAGGAGUGGUACUAAAAUUCUCAUUUUAACCGUUCUAUAUUGAUACUACUGUUAAGGAGUAGAUUGAAUUACGCAAUAUAAUAUAAAGGUAGCACAACUAAUAACCAAUUACUAUAUGAACAUAUACUGUCAAAAAUGUGAAAUAUAUCAAUUUCAGCGGAUGUUUAUUCUUAAAGACUCUUUACUAAAAAAGGGUUGAGUAUUUUCGAAUCCUUUCCCAAAACUGUGUACUUACAUUGUAGUAUAUUUGGAAUGAUACUUCGGGAAACGGAGUCAGAUGUGCACUAAUCCCCAUAUUAUGAAUAAAGGUAUUAGGUGAUUAUACUCGCUCAAAGUGGAAUUCUAUAUAUAAAACAUGUCAGCAUAAGGAAGAUAUUUUCUUUGCCGGACUUGAAGAAUAUAGACUAGGAGUACAUUAUCUAAUGUAGGACUACUGAUUAUUGUAGGUUGUAACCAAUUUCGGCUUUUACCACAAUAGUAUUUCUUAGCUUUUUACUCUGAUCACCUUAAUUGGCAGUGCUCCUUACCAUUACUUUAGUAUAAUAUCGAAAAGGUUGGCAUGUAGAAGGAUUUUAGAACAUCCGUUGUCGUGAUUACGAUACAGUCGAAAUGAGAUGACGUCAACGGUUGUCAAUGUUACCUUAUCUGCAGAUUAUAUAAACUUAUUUUUUGAAAUCUACUUUCUUAUCGAUAUUGAUUAACUACGAUUGUGCUGUUCCUUCACAUAAUCAGUGUAUUAGAAUACCAUAGGUGUACAGGAUAGUCAAAAUAACGGAAAAGAAAAUAAGCAUUAAUAUCUUCGUGGCAUGACAGCGUAAAAUUUAUUCCUGUUGUUCUCCUUUCAAGAAAAUGAAGUAGUUUUUUUAUACAAAGACAGUCUAAAACGACAUAUGAUUGAGACAAGUUGCCACUAGCUGUGGUCAACAGCCAGCAAAGCCAAUCCAUUGGGAGUGUAUUCCUAACUCUAACGACUCUCUCAGGACUCUUUGGAGAGGUCUAGAGAGCACUUGGCACGUAGCUUUCUGUCCACAUAGCAUGCAUAUUGCUUGAAGUGUAUAUGCCUAACUUUAGCUAGUAUUGCCUUAUAUCACACGAAAUGCCCACGAUAUAAACCAUGUAUUACUGAACUAACGUCGGAAAGAGGUUUAAUAAUGCAUCUCCCGUUUGUGUUUGAUGUAUCACACUCAACUGCACCUUUCACAAAUAUUAUGGAGUAGUUUAUGAAUGAUAUUUGGUCCAAACUGGUUUGUGGUAUACAGUCGUAUAAUAAUGGCCAUGAAAUCAUAUCAAAAUAUGUUACAUAAUCAUGGAUAACUUUGUGAUUAAGUUGAUUAUAAUGUGUUUCUUUUUCAAAUUUGGUAUUUAAUUUGUGACAUACAUUUCUUGUAUAAAUCGUUUUGUGCAUAUUUAACUCUUUCCAUUUGGGAAAGAUAAACUAAAAAGUCUUAGAGUCUUAACACUUGUUACUUUGCCGUUUAUUUAAGAAGAAUACACUUUAGAAAAUGUUCAAUGAUAGCAUAUAAGCUUAUUAUGAUUUGAAGAUCUAGGGGUUGGAUAAUUUCUGUUAUGUUAAAUUGUUUUAAUUUGUACCGUUAUUCCAACCAAAUUUUACAAAUGUGAAAGGAACUGGUAUUCAUUUGUGAAAAUACAGUCAUGGCACUGUUAUUGACAUAAGGCGUGGGAGUCAUUUUAAUACCAAUGUAAAUUCAAAACAUUCAUAAUGUUUUUAUCCAUUCAAAUUUUCUUUAAAGUUUUUACUUAACAAGUUACCUUACGUUGCUUUUAGUUUCAUACUUUGGCACAGAUUGGCACCAAUGGCGAUUUACCGAUAGGUAUUCAAUACUCCCUCUUUACUCUAACAUACGUACACACAACAUAAAGACAAAGGUUUCCUGAAUCAGUGAUAUAAAUGUGUGUUCGAAUUGUCACCGUACCCUUGUUUAUUUUGUUUUGUAGUUUGCAGAUUGUUUCCUUUGGUAUUUCAGACUGUUCUGGCACCCUUUAUGCUCAUGCACACUUUUCUUUCUUUCUCUUUUACCACACGCAAAAACUGAUAGCUAUUUCCCUGUUAUUUUACCAUAACUUAGAGCAUACGAACAUGAUUCCCUGUAAACAGCUCAUCUCAAUUUACUUGUAAAUAUCAAUUUGUUAUUUAAAACCAACUUUAUCAUCAAAGAAUUGUACUAUUUUCUAUGUAAAAGUGUGUUAUUAUUUUCAUGUAAACCCAAUAUUUCUUUAUAUCGUACAUGAUGUGUUAUUAAAUAUAUAUGAUCUGGUCAA